rnacentral:rRNA from 1 species
AAAACGACUCUCGGCAACGGAUAUCUCGGCUCACGCAUCGAUGAAGAACGUAGCAAAAUGCGAUACUUGGKGUGAAUUGCAGAAUCCCGUGAACCAUCGAGUUUUUGAACGCAAGUUGCGCCCGAAGCCAUCYGGUUGAGGGCACGUCUGCCUGGGCGUCACGC